UUCUUUUCUUUAUUUUUUCUUUUAGUGAUGUAGGGGACGCGUUCUGCUGACUUUGGGCCUACGACCAGGGCCAAUAAAAAUAAAAGGUGUGGCCCAUAAAAUAAUUGCGAAUAUUACUUUAUGGGACUGACCGGUCCAACAGUACAUAGACCUACCUUCCCAAUCACGUGAUUGGAAAGGGCACAGACAGUCGGCUUUAUAUAAGACCGACAUGACAUACAAGCUCUCAAUUUUCUCCCUAAAAAUUAACCCAAAAAAGACUCAGGCCAUCACAUUCUCCCGCAGACCCCUGCAAGUCACAGCUAAACUGCUGAUCGAUGAACACUCCAUCCCAUGGACCAAUACGGCCAAUUACCUAGGAAUAACGCUAGACAAUAAACUCACAAGCCAUAGAAAAAAGAACUACUCUUGCCUACCCAGCACUAUCCAGGAUAUAUCCUCAUAGCCCGAAAUAGCAAACUCAAGAAAAACAUCAAAAUCUUACUGUACCUAACAUGCAAUCAUUCUCAAUAGACAGAGGGACACAGCCGUAGCAUAGCUCCAAUUAGCCAACAUCCCCACGAUCAAGCAGUAUAUUCAAAACUCACUACCUGGGGCCUACAACAACAACCAUCAAAAUCUCCUCAUCAGGGAAACAGGCAACUAUCAAGUCGAAAACAUACCACUCAAAAUCAAGGUCAAAUUACGUAAACACGCAUUAACCUAACGAACCAAAACCUUCAGAUUCAAACUGUAUCAAGGAACCUGCAGGUUAUUUGAAACUUUUCCUGCAAGCCUAACCUCACCUCAUCAUGCAAACAAACCACAUAAAUAUCCACAAACGAAUAUCAAUCUUUAUGCAGGUUAAAGGGCACUCUAGGCCCAGGGUACUGCAGACAAGACAUUCGGACUAAUAAAAUAAAAAAAAAAAAAGAAAGCUCUCAAUUUUCUCCUGUUUCAGAAGCAGACGUACGUUGUCUGUAUCCGUGCGCGAGAUCCCCAAAAGUGACUUUAAUUCUUCGAGUUUCAGAAAUUUGAUCAAAAAUUUAUAUUUAUAAAUUAACAAAUAUAAUU